AGUAUUACUAUAUGUAAAUAUGUUAUUAAUUCUUCUCCAUAUUUACAUAAAGUUAUAAUAUUAC
rnacentral:tRNA from 1 species